CCCCGCCGCCCCCAAGGAUGGGGGAGGGGCGGCAGGAUUGACAGUCCGUAAUUGGGUAACUGGAGGCGGCUUCUCCGGCCCGGCGGCCCCGCCACCGCGACGCCGGGCCCCUGACGUCACCCGAUUCGCCAGGAAAUGAACUUUUUAAUAAUCCAAGGAGGGUGGAAAGCCCUCGGUCCCCUCGGCUCGGGGGGCGCCCAGCCAGGCGGGCUCAGCUUCUCGGGCGCGCCCCCGUCACCCCCUCCCGGGUCCUCUGCGGACAGCGCAGAGGGGGCGCGCGCACGGCAGGGCCUCCUCCGGCCCCUGCGGCUGGCGUCCAUCUGUCUGUCCGAGGCCCUGGAACAGCCUUUAGCCCGUGAUUCUUCAUUAACACGCAAGGCGAAAUCGCCAUGGAGUUUCCAGAUUGUUCGAUGUCCCUGGAACCUAGCAGGAGAGUCUAAAGGCCUCUCAGCCCCGGCGAUAACCCCAUUUUCGACAACGGUACCCCAUGUGGCGGAAUUCCAUGGCCUUGCAGAGUUCCAGGAGGAGAGCGCGGUACGCAGAGGAAGCUGCCCUGGCCGAGUCGGCGCCACGGCUGGCGGGGGGCGGGGGGGUGUCUGCCAGCACCACCCCUGAGAGCAGGUCUUAGGAACUGCAGCCGAGAAUCAGUUCUCUCUUUUUCCUGCCCUGGCCGGCUAGAGAGACAGGAGCCAUUCAAUCUGAUCUUCAGAAGGCAGGCAGUAGGAGGCCCAGAACUUGGGAUGGAGCGCAUUGGAGUCCCAAGGACAGAAAGACCUGGAGAGAAGGGGAGGAACAAACAGCAGGGGUCCUGGGGAAACAGAUCUUUUCUUUUUUAAUUGUAGCCACACUACGGGGGCAGAAACGCCGGCAGGGUGGGCCUAGGGACUGGGGCACUCAGGCUGAAAUAAACAACUAGCACGUGUCAGAAUGAAUCAGAGAGGUGGGCAUAAAGGUGAAGAAAGUAUCAACCAGUGAGAGGCACGGACACGGAGACAGAAUCGAGAUGCCGCACUGGAGAGAGACUAAAGAAAACAGAUGAGGAAAGCAAGGAGAAAGGAGAGAAGGGCCCAGAAAGGCGUGGGCAGAGGGAAAGAAAGCAGGUCUGAGGGAAAUGGACUGACCAAAGAUGUAGAGACCGAGCCGGCCUGGCCGAAGGGAAGUCAGGUCCUUGGAGACCCGGCAAGGCAUGAGCUAAGGCUGGGACCUCAGGCAGGGCACGGAUCGCCGGGCGGUGGCGACGGGCAGGGGGGUCUGAGUGGGCCUGAGCCGCUGUCCCGGGUAAUUUUUCAUCUCGGCCGGCUAAUCUUUGUUCCCGGCGAAGAUAAUGAAUAGCCAAUCGUUAUCUGCCGGGCUCCCGGAGGCUGCCCGAGAAUGGGGUUGUACAGGGCUGGGAAUUGUUUCCAAAGUGCCGCGGAAUAAAUGGUGUUUCUUAUCUCUGCCUUCCAGAUUAUCGCAGCCCUUUCAGAGCGCACACAACAAAUGCGCCCGCCAUCGAAUGCAGCAUUUACCACCACAGAUCCGCGCGCCGAUGGGCAGGCUGAUAGCGUCCGCGGGGGGCUCGCCGGGGCGAGUGUGAGCCCCGGCUCUGCCUGGUGUGUUUGGAGGAACACGUGGAUAUGGCAGCGAGUGGACCCUGAGCAUGCAAAGAUGUGAGUGUGCGAGUUAAGUGUGCCUCGAGAAAGUUCACGUGUGCGAGACCCUGCGCACACGCAUGCUGCGUGAUCGUGGCGAGUGUCAGGGGAGAGGCCUCCAGGAGGCAGGCGGGAAGGGAUGCUGCACGUGACCUCAUGGGCUAGUGUGUGCCGUGUGCUAGCCGCGUGCACGAGACUAUUUACUUUGAGGGCCUGCGAGGAUGUUGUUUGGGGGUGCGGAACAGAGGGGUUCGAAGCCACUCCAAGUAUGUGCAGCACUUGCAGGCCUCACUCCACGAGGUGUAUUUCUGAAGCUUCUGGGUGGGAGCAGUAGGGGACUUUUGUGACGGCGGCUCAGGCCUUUGGAACCGGCUCGGAUCUGUGCGACAGUGUGGACACUGUACGAGUAGGUGUUCAGAGAGAUGCGCGAAGCUAAGGGACGUUUUGUUUUUGUUUUUUCCGGGCCUCGAUUGAGCCUGUGUUGAGCAGACUCUGGUUUGGACAUUGGCUGUGAGAAUGAGACGGCUGUACGCUCGGUCCGGGGAGUGCUGGAGAGUGACACGAGGCAAGUGACUGUGGAGUUUGAGACAGCCCAGGGGUCCUGGUGCUGGCUCUGGGGCCCCUCGGCCAAGGCUUUGCAGCUGGGGCAACAGAGCCCAGCCCGCCGCCCGAGGUCCCGGCCGUGAGUGACACGCGCCGCCACAAAGGCUGUAUUUUUCCAGGCCCGCGCCCCGCCCGCGCGCGAUGGUCCCCAUGGCGACGCAGAUAGCGCGCGGCCAUUUUCCUAUCUCCCCGGAGUCUAUUAUACAGCGGGAUUAGCUCAUCUCCAGGCAGGUCAAACCCAAAGUCACACAACCUGCGGCGUGAGCCCCGCCUCCGGCCGCUCCUCCCCCGCAGCGGGAGCGGGCGACCCCCGCGGCUGGCGGUGCCCGUGCGCGGGUUCAGAGCGCCACCUGGCGGCUGCGCGUUCCCAGGCCCGCUGCGUGAGAGGCAGCAGGUGCCGGAGGCGUUGGCUUUGUGUGGUUGCUUGGGCGACUCCAAGGGAAAGGCUGGCACUCAGUAGGUAUCCCACAACCGUUUGCAGGAAAGAUGGACGGGCAGGAAAUUCUACAGGGACUGACUGCCAAAGGCCACCAUGUCGGCAACAAAACCCCAUCUCUUUGAAUAAAGAAAUGCAACCUUUGCAACCGUGGUCGCAAGCCUUGCUGACCCCUAGGCUCGGUUUCCUUCCUCCUUCUUCCACGGACAGGGGCCUUGUGGUUCUUUGGAAUCUCUGGACAGGAACCCCCUUUCACUCCUGUCUGCUGGUCCGUGCACCCGGAGAAGUCAGCCUGUGGUCUACUGUCACCCAUUAGACGGUAGUUACUAUCGUUUCUUCUACUCCUCUGCCUGGUGGUCGAUGUCAUAGUUUCUAGUGACUUUUCUAAUAACACUUGCUUGUUUAGGGGUCUGUGAUGUUUUGAAUAAUGGCGGAGUGGUGGAAUUCUGACAACAGGUUGGGCAUACCACAACAUAGGGACGGAGUGGCUGAGGACCAAAGGGGGUCUGUAAGCCCCACGGGCCAGGUUACAAAGCAUUCCUGGCUGGCGUCACAGAAUCUAGGAUAUUCAUGGCUGUGAGGUACAAGAGUUACUCAGCAGCCACUCCUGCCCGCCCCGCCUGCCUACCUGAUCUAAACGGGAGGGAGUGACAUGGCCCCGCCCUUCUCUGCCCGUGCUGAGAAGGCGAAUUCACCCCAUCUUGCUCUCCUAGAGCAGCUCCUGGGUAGCACCAGGGUGGUGUUGAACCACAGGAGACCUCAUGAUUUAGGUUAGUUAGACGGAGCAGUUCAGACCUUGGUGGUCCAUUGCUGACUGGAGCUGGGACUGCACUCUGCUAAAGGGAGCUUAGCAGGGUCCAUCCUGGAAGCUGGGAGUAGCUCUGGCCAGGAGUGCUAGGAGAUACUUUCAAGUUCUAGCAGUUUCCUCAGCACUGUCCUGGAAGAGGAGCUGGGGAGGGAGGGGCUGUCCCACACCACACAUAGACCUUCCCCUCCCACAUGGUCCACACCCCCUCCCAGACUGGCAGCUUUAUACAAGUUGCUUUCCCACUCUGGGCCACUGGUUCUGCCUCUGCACUGCUCCCUCCAGGAUCAUGGACUGCGGGGCUUGUGUGUGAGCUUCCUGUAAACCGCAUGUUGGGAGUCUGCCUUGUCAAGGUGGCAGCCAAAGUCCUUGGUCUGCACCACGCCCAGUGUCUGCCAGCACUAGGAGCGAGCCGAGCGGGAGAUCUCAUGUGAAGAAGCUCGUUUCUUGCUUCUUGUGAAACACUUCACGACUGGCCACUUUGUGCCUGAGCUCCUGCGUGGUGAGGGAACGCUGGAGUGCUGUGGAGUCCCCUGUGAGCACCCGGAGCCAACCCCUACCCCAGUCCUUAGCUCAGGGGCGCAGAGUAACAACCCCUACCCCAGGCUUAGAUCAGUGGCUGCGUUAGUUUUGCCUUCCCCUCCAGCACUGGGGACUUCGGCUUGUGGGACUAUUAACCUCUCAGUAAUUAACUAAUAAAUUAACACAACCAACAUUUAAAGGAGGCACGUGGAGCCAUAUUAUAAAGGUCUCCAGUGAUGCAUAUCGAGCUGUGCCCAUUGCUGUGAACUGUGCUCAUUGCAGUGAACUGUGUGUCCAGUGCAGU